ensembl:lncRNA
CACAGUUAAGUUGGAGUGAUGACCAGAUCAGAGAGUUCAGUGUGAUGUGAGUUUGAAUGGUGACUGCAAGGAGCAGCAGAGGAAAUGUAUCUUGAACUUUCUUGACUGAUCAUCUGUCUGAGAAUAGAGCUCUCUGGAGCAUGACUGGUGUAUCUGUGAGUAUGCACCACUAGGCAGGAUGAUCUUUUGCUGAAUAAAAUUCUUUUUCUACUUAGUUUCUGUUCAUCCUUUUAAAAUCUGCAUAUUUAGGUAUGUUUUAUAAUACUCUUUGUGACCCCAUGGACAGUAGCCCACCAGGCUUCUCUGUCCAUGGGAUUCUCCAGUACUCUUGCCUAGAGAAUUCUAUGGACAGACCAUGGAGUUGCAAAGAGUUGAGCAAGUAAUACACACACAAUUGUAAAUUUAAUUAUCAGUUUGACUGAUACUGGCCAAAACUCAAUAACAAGGCACAAUAUUCUGAAACUUUAGUUAUGUUAUUUAAUUUGACAGUUAAAAGCAGGUGUCUAAUCUAAAACAAUACAUAUUAAUAAAUCUGGAGUUUUAUCUUUACUUUUUGUGUUUUCUUUGGAAUCUAACAUACACAUAGCUAUUGAGGAUCAGAGCCUCCCAAUGCCAGAAAACUGGAGAAUUGUGUUCCUCAGGUGUACACUGGAUGGACCAAAAGAUGAUCAUACUAAGCGAAUUAAGUGAGGCAGAGAAAGACGAGUAAAAUGUGGUGUCACUUACAUGUGGAAUCUUAAAAAUAUCUCACAAAUGAACUUAUUUACAAAACAGAAACAGACUCAAGGACAUGGAAAGCAAACUUACGGGUACCGAAAGAGAAGCAGGGGGAGGGAUAAAUUGGAAGUAUGGGAUUAACAUGCAAACUGCCAUAUACAAGAUAGAUAAACAACAGGAUCUAGUGUGAAGCAUAGGAAACCACAUUCCAUAUCUUGUAAUAAACUGUAAUGGAAAUGAAUAAAAAAAAUUAUAUAGAUAUAUACAUAUGCAUGCAGGUAUGCAAACCCAGUUGCUCAGUUGUGUUCGAAUCUCUGUGACCCCAUGGACUGCAGCUCACCAGGCUCCUCUGUCCAUGGGAUUUUUCCCAGCUAGAAUAUGAGUGGGUUGCCAUUUCCUCCUCCAGAGGAUCUUCUUGACCCAGGGAUCAAACUCGAGUCUCCUGAACCUCCUGCAUUGGGAGGCAGGUUCUUUACCACUGAGCCACGAGCCCCCUGGGAAGCCGAUAUAUACACAGUCAAAUCACUUUGCUUUGCAUCUAAAACUAGCACAAUAUUGUACAUCAACUAUACUUCAAUUAAAAAAAAAAGAACAGAACAAGGUGGUGUUUGUGGAUUUGUGCUGAAAUGAACAGUUUGUAUU